rnacentral:rRNA from 1 species
AUUGAACGCUGGCGGCAGGCCUAACACAUGCAAGUCGAGCGAGCGGCGGACGGGUGAGUAAUGUCUGGGAAACUGCCUGAUGGAGGGGGAUAACUACUGGAAACGGUAGCUAAUACCGCAUACCAUCAGAUGUGCCCAGAUGGGAUUUGCGAGUAGGUGGGGUAAUGGCUCACCUAGGCGCCGAUCCAUAGCUGGUCUGAGAGGAUGACCAGCCACACUGGACCUGGGCCACGGUCCAGACGCCUACGGGAGGCAGCAGUGGGGAAUAUUGCACAUUGGGGGCAAGCCUGAUGCAGCCAUGCCGCGUGUAUGAAGAAGGCCUUCGGGGUGUAAAGUACGUUCAGCGAGGAGGCGUUACUCGCAGAAGAAGCACCGGCUAACUCCGUGCCAGCAGCCGCGGUAAUUC